rnacentral:rRNA from 1 species
UACAGAGGUCUCAAGCGUUGUUCGGAUUCAUUGGGCGUAAAGGGUGUGUAGGUGGCGCCGUAAGUCAGGUGUGAAAUUUCGGAGCUUAACUCCGAAACUGCAUUUGAUACUGCGGUGCUUGAGGACUGGAGAGGAGACUGGAAUUUACGGUGUAGCAGUGAAAUGCGUAGAUAUCGUAAGGAAGACCAGUGGCGAAGGCGGGUCUCUGGACAGUUCCUGACACUGAGACACGGAAAGCCCAGGGGGAGCGAACGGG